GCCCAUGUAGCUCAGUUGGUAGAGCACACCCUUGGUAAGGGUGAGGUCACUGGUUCGAUUCCAGUCGUGGGCA
rnacentral:tRNA from 1 species